rnacentral:rRNA from 1 species
CGUUAGCGGCGGACGGGUGAGUAACGCGUGGGCAACCUGCCUUACACAGGGGGAUAACAAUUAGAAAUGAUUGCUAAUACCGCAUAAGACCACGGUACUGCAUGGUACAGUGGUAAAAACUGAGGUGGUGUAAGAUGGGCCCGCGUCUGAUUAGGUAGUUGGUGGGGUAGAAGCCUACCAAGCCGACGAUCAGUAGCCGACCUGAGAGGGCGACCGGCCACAUUGGGACUGAGACACGGCCCAAACUCCUACGGGAGGCAGCAG